CAUCUAAUGAAUUUUGGGUAGAUUAACAAGGGAAGUAGCAGAUGCACUUGUGAGCAGGGAAGACAUAGUUGCAAGAUCCAUGUCGUGCUCCCUCAAGUCGCUGGCACUGACUCUUGCACGCAUUAUUGUUUCCACAAACACCAGACCAUGUCCCACUUGGCCUCUCGCACAACUUCGCUUCCACCAUUGUUGGUGCUUCUGCAUAUAGAUAUAUCUCACGGUUAAUUAACAUAAAAAUAAUCUGAGAAAAAGGAAACUUUAAAACUCAUUCUGCUAUGCAUAUAUGAUAAGAUCAUUACUCACCAAAAGUGGCAAAGAGAACAAGGGCAGCGAAGAGAAGGGUGAUGAUGGAAGCAAACUUAGCCAUGACUAUUAUUUUUGUUUUGAAUGUAUGUAUGUAUGUAU
rnacentral:lncRNA from 1 species